GGAUUGGUAUCUCUAAAAUUUUGACAAUUCAUAACAAAAUUCUCAAAUUUCUACAUGUCCUCGUUUCAUAUGAAGAUUCAUUAUGAAGAUUAUAGAAGAUAUGAAGGGGAAAGAUACGACAAGUCAUAUUCUUUGUGGUUGACUGCUGGGAUUUCUGAAGGCAGGUGUCGGAGAAGGAGUAGGUGUUACAAUGUUAUCUUCGUAGCUGUUAUCGCGGAAACCUUGACCAGCGCUAAGGCCAGACGAAUAGAGUGGCCCCAAACUGGAUGAUUUGCCGGGAUAAGGCACUCUUGGUUCUAGAUCGAUGACGCGUGUGAUAUAUUUUUCGAUAUGUAGUACAGAGAGAAAAUUUAUCCCAUUUGCUGCGGACAUGUGCAAGGGAAAGCGACCUUGGUUCUUGAUGCCCUCCAUACAGUGCCAUAGCCGAGCCGAAGUGAAAAGCAGCGAUAUUUCAUUAGAUUUACGUAAAGCUGAUGUUCAUCUUGCACGAAAUUAUUAUCAUCAUUUAUAAAUUAAUCGAUCUCAUUUAUUACCUUGUAAUCGCAUCGCGUGCGACUGAUUAUUUUUCAACAUCUUUUACGUAAUUCUUUUUACGUUUGAAUUGAUUAAUAACGACAUUAGUAGUGGCGAUCUUCCAGUGUUUAAUAAUCAAAUAUAUCAUUACAAUUUCACCCGCAGGUAUGGAUGUAUUAGAAAUGAGAAAUGGUUGAAGGAGAGAUAGGAGCAUAAAUCAUUGGUUAGAAAAGUGGUACAUAUCUGUUAACUUUUUAGCAGAUUCAUUCGCAGCUGACCGUCUGUAAAUGUACUGAAAUCAUGCAUGUCAAUGACCUAAAAUAUUCGCGAGAAAUGUAGUAAAAUAACCUAAUCGAUAAAUACACUUACUUACAUACAUGUAAACGUAUAAGUAUAUUUGUUCAGGGAACAAGUAUAAGGAAACGAAACUAGUUACUUUCUACAUAAAUAUACUUUAACGAAAUUAUCAAUAUUUAUUGUAUUUAUCAAACGUAGGAAGAGUUCGUUAAACUUAUCGAUUUUUUGGUGACAGCCUAUUGUUUGUCUUGAAAGAAAUACAUCCGUUUACACUUCUACCGAUAAUGGUUGUGGAAAGCACCUUACUUUCUAAGUGCGUAAAACACGGAUAGUGGUUUCACGAUUCGUUGGAAACAUCUCAUUCGUAACGGUGAUGACGAUGUAUCGCGAGAGAUCCGGGGCUUUCGAUAAAUUUGAAAGGCUCGACUUACGAGAGUGAAUCUUCCGACAUCUCAGUGGUAAUAAUCUGUCAGUUGUUAAGAGAAAUCUCUUGUACAGAUGUGAUAGAUGCGAAAAGAUAUCACGGAGAUUGAUAAAUUGAGAAAUCAAAGCGAUCUUUAUAUUUAACGUAUCAAAUAAAUUGUA